CAGUAGCCACGGGAAUACGAAGGGGGCUAGCGUUGUUCGGAAUUACUGGGCGUAAAGCGCACGUAGGCGGAUAUUUAAGUCAGGGGUGAAAUCCCAGAGCUCAACUCUGGAACUGCCUUUGAUACUGGGUAUCUUGAGUAUGGAAGAGGUGAGUGGAAUUCCGAGUGUAGAGGUGAAAUUCGUAGAAAUUCGGAGGAACACCAGUGGCGAAGGCGGCUCACUGGUCCAUUACUGACGCUAAGGUGCGAAAGCGUGGGGGGCAAACAGGAUUAGAUACCCCUGUAGUCCCUGUCUCUUAUAA
rnacentral:rRNA from 1 species